UAGUAGCGGCGAGCGAAGCGGGAUGAGCCCAGAUUUGAAAGCUCCCGCCAGGGCGCAUUGUAAGCUGGAGACGUGCCUCGAGCGGCGCGGCUGGACGCAAGUCUGCUGGAAAGCAGCAUCAGAGAGGGUGAGAAUCCCGUGCUUGGUCUGGCUGUGCGCCGUGUUGUGGGGUGCGCUCGACGAGUCGCGUUGUUUGGGAAUGCAGCGCAAAGAGGGGUGGUAAACGCCAUCCAAGGCUAAAUACCGGGGAGAGACCGAUAGCGAACAAGUACCGUGAGGGAAAGAUGAAAAGCACUUUGGAAAGAGAGUUAAAGAGUACGUGAAAUUGCCAAGAGGGAAGCGCUGGCAGUCAGUGCCGUAGCGCUGCUGGUCCCGCCUUUUUUUGGGAGGUUGAUGCCGGCAGUGUGGGGCCCGCGUCGGUUGCUGUUUUGGUGGGGGAGAAGGCAGAGCGGAAGGUGGCUUCCCUUUUUUUGGGGGGAGUGUUAUAGCCGCUUUGUGGAUGCCCUGCUAGCGACCGAGGACCGCUUUUUUCGAUAGAGGAUGCGGGCUUAAUGGCUUUCAGCGGCCCGUCUU
rnacentral:rRNA from 1 species